CCCAACCCUAACCACUAACCCCUAACCCCUAACCCCUAACCACUAACCACUAAUCCCUAACCCUAACUUUUUUAACUUUUUAAAUUUUUUUAACUUUUUUAAAAAUCUAACUUUUUAAACUUUUCUAGCUUUUCAAAACUCUUUUAAAAGUUUUUAAAACUUUUUUAAAGACUAUUUUUUUAAAAAACUUGAAAAACUCCCCACCUCCGCGAGACCAGCCUCCCUUUUA